rnacentral:rRNA from 1 species
AGAAGACAAGGUAGAUAGGUUGGGAGUGUAAGCAUCGUAAGGUGUUCAGCGGACCAAUACUAAUAAAUCGAGGGCUUAACUUU